GCUCGGCUCGCGGGACUCGCGUUCAUUCUCGUGCUCAUCGUCGUCGCUGCUGGCCGCACACAACCUCGGAUCGAAUCGAGUCGAGUCCUCAGCCUCUGCCAGCCACUCUGCGAGUCACUGCGCUUUGGGCAGCAACGCGACAACAAGUUGAACUCGGCUCGAGCGGAGCUACCAACGACCAUCACCAUCAACUGGCCAAAAGCACCUGGCGCUAAUCCGUCGCUAUAAACACGACAGUCGAACGCACACAUAACCAAUUCCAGAUGCGAUCAAUUCGAAUUGUGUGAAUUUCCAGCAUUAAUGCAAUCGAACGCAAAGCAAAGCGGAGCAAAAAUAAAUAAAUAAAACGUAAAACUCAGCGGAAAGUAAUAAAAUAAGAGCGGACACGUCCCACGAAAACCCGGAGAGGGAAGCCAAAGUGUCAACAAGGACACUCCAAAGGACAGUGAACACCGGAGAGCAGGAGUCGGAAGCAGAUUGCCCAGACCCCG